AGAGUUUGAUCAUGGCUCAGGAUGAACGCUAGCGGGAGGCUAAUACAUGCAAGUCGAGCGGUAGAGUGACUUCGGUUGCUUGAGAGCGGCGCACGGGUGAGUAACGCGUACGCAACUUACCUCCAAACGGGGCAUAGCCCCGGGAAACUGGGAUUAAUACCCCAUAGUUUACAAGAUCCGCAUGGAUUUUGUAAUAAAGCUGAGGCGUUUGGAGAUAGGCGUGCGUCUGAUUAGGUAGUUGGUAGGGUAACGGCCUACCAAGCCUACGAUCAGUAGGGGGCGUGAGAGCGUGGCCCCCCACACGGGUACUGAGACACGGACCCGACUCCUACGGGAGGCAGCAGUAAGGAAUAUUGGACAAUGGACGAAAGUCUGAUCCAGCCAUCCCGCGUGCAGGAUGAAUGCCCUAUGGGUUGUAAACUGCUUUUGGAAGGGAAGAAACGCCUCGAUUUAUCGGGGCCUGACGGUACCUUCAGAAUAAGCACCGGCUAACUCCGUGCCAGCAGCCGCGGUAAUACGGAGGGUGCAAGCGUUAUCCGGAAUCACUGGGUUUAAAGGGUGCGUAGGCGGCGCAGUAAGUCAGGGGUGAAAGCCUACGGCUCAACCGUAGAAUUGCCUUUGAUACUGUUGCGCUUGAAUCAGGUUGAGGUUGGCGGAAUGUGGCAUGUAGCGGUGAAAUGCAUAGAUAUGCCAUAGAACACCAAUUGCGAAGGCAGCUGACUGGACCUGUAUUGACGCUGAGGCACGAAAGCGUGGGGAGCAAACAGGAUUAGAUACCCUAGUAGUCC
rnacentral:rRNA from 1 species